CAGCCGCCGCGGUAUGCGUAGGUGGCAAGCGUUGUCCGGAAUUAUUGGGCGUAAAGGGCUCGCAGGCGGCUUCUUAAGUCUGAUGUGAAAGCCCCCGGCUCAACCGGGGAGGGUCAUUGGAAACUGGGAAACUUGAGUGCAGAAGAGGAGAGUGGAAUUCCACGUGUAGCGGUGAAAUGCGUAGAGAUGUGGAGGAACACCAGUGGCGAAGGCGGCUUACUGGCUCAUUCUAGACGCUGAGGAGCGAAAGCGUGGGGAGCAAACAGGAUUAGAUACCCGCGUAGUCCCUGUCUCUUAUACC
rnacentral:rRNA from 1 species